rnacentral:tRNA from 4 species
GCCGAUGUAGCUCAGUUGGUAGAGCAACGCUUUCGUAAAGCGUAGGUCAGCGGUUCGAAUCCGCUCAUCGGCUCCA